AUGCUGCUAUCCGUCUCCCGCUCCGCCGACAAGUUCGCCCCCCUCGCCGGCCUCCGCUCGCUGCUCGUCCCCGACCCCGUCGCCGUGGGCGGAGGCGUCGUGACGCGGACGAUCCCCGCGUCGCCGCCGCCGCGCGGCGAGGCCGAUCCGGAGGAGAGCGUCGACGAGGAGGACGAGGGCUGCUGGGUCUCUUACGGCCGACGGGACCCAGGACGGCGCCGGCUGCCGCCGCCGAUCCCGUCGCUGGCGGGCCGUAGCGGUUUGCGCCGGGCGCGCACUGAGGACAGGAGGCUCGUCAUCAGCAAGGUGCGCGUCAUGCGGCCGGACUACUACGUCCGCGCGCGCCGCGUGCGCGGCGGCCGCCUCCUCAUGCGCCUCGUCGAGCGCGAGGACGACUGCCCCCGCGAUCCGCUUCGGGCGCCCGGCUGCGCCCGUGAGGGCGGCGCCGAUCGGGCCGACGAAGCUGCGGCGGUGCAGGGAGACGUAAUCGAUGACGAGCAGGCGGCUGCGGCUCCGGCGACGAUGCCCGCAUUUGGAUGCUUCGAGGACGUGGUUAAGUACCAGUACGCCAUCGGUAGCAGCCCGCUGCACCGGGUGCCCUUGCUAAGGAUGGUUCAUUGA
rnacentral:rRNA from 1 species